CAAUAGCGUAUACUAACGUUGUUGCAGUUAAAAAGCUCGUAGUUGGAUUUCUGAAGGUGGUUGGAUUGGUGUGACCUCGCGUUGCCUCAACCAUACUAUUUUCAACAUAUGCGAUGAAUUGGUGUGGUUAAUUAUGUUUGAUCCGCCAUUAAAUCGCUCGUUUACUUUGAGAAAAUUAGAGUGUUCAAAGCAGGCAUAACGCCUUGAAUAUGUUAGCAUGGAAUAAUAGCAUAGGACUUUGGUUCUAUUUGUUGGUUGUUCGAGAACCGGAGUAAUGAUUGAUAGGGACGGUUGGGGGCAUCUGUAUUCUCAAGCGAGAGGUGAAAUUCUUGGACCUUGGGAAGACGAACAGCUGCGAAAGCGUUUGCCUAGGACGUUCUCUUUAA
rnacentral:rRNA from 1 species